GUCGUUGUAGUAUAGUGGUGAGUAUCCCCGCCUGUCACGCGGGAGACCCGGGUUCGAUCCCGGCAACGUUU
rfam:Ipomoea nil DNA, scaffold: scaffold1627, cultivar: Tokyo-kokei standard.